CCAGAUAAGAGAAUAAAAGCAGGCUGCCCCAGCCAGCAGUGGCAACCCGCUGAGGUCAAGCUUCGUUUUUUUUGCUUUUUACAAUAAGUGUUGCUACUGCUCAGUCUUUGAGUCCACGCUACUUUUAUGAGCUGUAACACUCACUACAAAGGUCUGCAGCUUCACUCUUGAAGCCAGCGAGACCACUGAGCUCACCGGGAGGAACAAACAACUCCGGACGCACUGUCUUAAGAGCUAUAACACCGCCAAGGUCUGCAUCUUCACUUCUGAGCCAGCGAGACCACGAACCCACCAGAAGGAAGAAACUCGGAACACAUCUGAAUAUCAGAAGGAACAGACUCCAGACGCGCCACCUCAAGAGCUGUAACACUCACGGCGAGGGUCCGCGGCUUCAUUCUUGAGGGCAAAAUCUUUUUCCCUUGAAGACUGGAAAUAUUAUCCAUGUUGUCCUCCGGAAUAUUUUCAAUGACUUGUGCCCUGCCAGCUCUAGCUUUUGAAGGGUCUACACUCAUCAUCAACAGAUUCUGGGGGUUCAUGCACAGAUUUCUUACCUGGGUAUAUUGUGUGAUGCUGAGCUUUGGAGUUCAACUGAUUUCAUCACCCAGCAACCAGCCCAGGAAGCCAGCCCAUUAUCCAGAGGAACCAACCAAGGAAGCCAG
rnacentral:lncRNA from 10 species